GGAUCUGGUACUAACUGCUAUUGUUGUUGUGUCAUUGCUAAUACUAAGCACUCGGUAAAAUUAUUAUCACUAAGUGAUAACGUGGACUCUUGUCUGUGUAGUAGAAUACCUUAACAGAAUAUGUUGUUUUUAAGAGUGUGGACACGACUGAGAACGAUGUCAAGUUAGAAAGAAGCACAGAUAUGGUAUUCCUUUUUCAGUGGCGGUACGUACAAUAAAAAUGAUUCGGAAUAACUGCGUCACUAAAAUAGGUUGACGCUGUGAAUGAUUGGUAAGAGAUACGGGUAUCAAAUUAUGCUCCAAUUCUAUGUUUUAAGGCAUGAACCAGUAGAUUAUAUUAUCGAAGAAUAAAAUUAUAUAUCAACUUUCAGUUAAUAGUUUUAUCAGAGAACAUAGAGAAGUGACAUAGAGGCUGAUUUUGCAAAACCACCCUUAUUGACAUUGGAGUCCUCAACCGCCAAAGGCAAGCGCCAAAUUUAAAUAGUCGAUGCCAAUAAAAACCUUGCUUCACUAUAAUUGUAAUUCGUGUGACCUAAAUGAAAGUGAAGGAAACAGUAAGCAGCUUGUAAUAUUCUGGUAAAUCUAGUGUCAAUUUGUCGAAAAUAAAACGCGUCGUUAAAAAUA